rnacentral:rRNA from 1 species
GUUUGAUCCUGGCUCAGAAUCAACGCUGGCGGCGUGCCUAACACAUGCAAGUCGCACUAGAAAGGGGAGCAAUCCCUGAGUACAGUGGCGCACGGGUGAGUAACACGUGAAUAAUCUACCUCCGAGUGGGGAAUAACUGACAGAAAUCUUAGCUAAUACCGCAUAACACUUACGAGUCAAAGGCAGCAAUGCGCUUGGAGAGGAGUUCGCGGCCUAUUAGUUAGUUGGCGGGGUAAUGGCCCACCAAGACGAUGAUCGGUAUCCGGCCUGAGAGGGCGCACGGACACACUGGAACUGAAACACGGUCCAGACUCCUACGGGAGGCAGCAGUGGGGAAUUUUGCGCAAUGGGGGAAACCCUGACGCAUCAACGCCGCGUGGAGGAUGAAGCCCCUUGGGGUGUAAACUCCUUUCGAUCGGGAAGAUAAUGACGGUACUGAUAUAAGAAGCCCCGGCUAACUUCGUGCCAGCAGCCGCGGUAAUACGAGGGGGGCAAGCGUUGUUCGGAAUUAUUGGGCGUAAAGGGUGCGUAUGCGGUUUGACAAGUCAUCUGUGAAAUCUAUGGGCUCAACCCAUAGUCUGCACGCGAAACUGUCGGGCUUGAGUAUGGGAGAGGUGAGUGGAAUUUCCGGUGUAUCGGUGAAAUGCGUACAUAUCGGAAGGAACACCUGUGGCGAAAGCGGCUCACUGGACCAUAACUGACGCUGAGGCACGAAAGCUAGGGGAGCAAACAUGAUUAGAUACCCUGGUAGUCCUAGCCCUAAACGAUGAUUGUUUGAUG